CGACGAGCGCCGCCGCCCCGCCGAAUGAAAACUAGUAGUAAUUGUGUUCCUAGUGCUGUAACGUGAUACACCGCUGACUGACUGAAGCGAAGGUCUUCGAAGUUAGGGGUCAAUAAAUUAAUAGACGAUUUGCGCGCGCCGCCGAGACUGUCACGGUAUUCGUCACGUGCGCAGCACGGUUUAUUAUAAGCUUAGUUGCCCAUCACACUUUCCCCACGGAACACAAAAUUACAAAGCGAAAUAUUUCCACUUAAUACAUAUUUAUGGUGAAGUGUAGUGGGGCGGCACGGUGGCACAGCGAGCAGCGCUGCUAUCUCACAUGUGCUCCGGUUUCCUCCCACAGUCCAAAGACAUGCUGUUCAGGUUCCCCCAUGUGUGUGUGUGUGUGUGUUUCACUGAUGCAUGGAUGAGUAACCCCUUGUAAGUAGUGUAUCUAGCAAUGUAGUCACCUUGGUGAAUAAGGUGUGGGCUAGUAACACUACACAGUAUCCCUUGUAAGUUGCUUUGGACAAAAGUGUCUGCUAAGUGAGUAAAUGUAACAACCGAAGCCUACAGAUGUGUUCCGAAAAAGGGAUGGGGAAUUAUAUUUUUGUACUUAUGGCAAAUGACACUGCAGCCCUAGGAAUUACUUUGAUUCAUUACGUAUUUUAUAUACUCCGUGUGUGUGUGUAUAUGAGGCUUCCAGGCAACGGUUUCCUUCCCCCACGCUGGCCUCUUGUUCCGGUCCUGCCAUCACCAUGGCGCCACAAAGCUGUCGAUUCCCAUCACCGCGCUUCACUCCGCUUUGCCAAGUGUGACCUGGCCAUCCAGCGCUUCUCAUCGCUGAAGGAACGGCUCCGACGCACCGGUCUACCGCAGUCUUUCGGGGGCCUGAAUGACGCUCUGGGUGACGCAAUGUUGAAAUCCGAUCCGCUCUAAACGCUGCGUAGGACACAGGGUCCCACGCAAGGCCACCCGUGCCAACUGAAGGAACGGCGAAUCCUUUCUCGAUUGCAGAUGGCAACUCUCAAGUGUCUUCCAGAUUCUCAUGGAUACGGACGUGGCCCUUAGCUGAGACACCAUAGUGAACUUCAGUCUUUCCUGCUCGUUGGAAUAAUAUUCAUUAAAGCACUCAUUGCCAUUGAUUAAUAACGUAACCAAAGCAGAAUCUUUGUCGGGGGUGAUGUGUCCUGGAGCGCAUCCCAGCCGGACGGCCGGUAGCAUCGUGAGCAGCGCUGCUCUCUUCCGCCCCCCAGGGUCACAGGUUUGAUUCCUGCUGUAGUACCCCUGAGCAAGGUACUUACUCUGAAAUGACCCAGCUGGAGGAAUAAUGAAAUAAUCAUAAGUCACUUUGGAGAAAGUGUUGUCUAAACGGUCACGGCGAUUCUUAUUUUUUCCAGUUCUGUUCUCUUCUGGAAAAGUGUCUCCUGUUGGCCAUGAGCAGGAUGAGCACACGUAUCAGUCGCUGGUAGGUGCGAAACAGGAGAAUGACUAAAUUAAGUUUGAGAGCUAAAAGGAGGUUCAGACAAAACUAUUUCUGGCGAGAUUUCAAAUCUACUGAAUAGAUGUAUUCAUAGAUUAAUAGAUGUAUUGACAGUAAAGACACAGAAGGAUCGUGCCAUUUCUCACGGAGGGGAUGUGAAGCCUCUUGCGCCGCUUAACAGGGCGAAACUUUACGCACAGCUGUUUUACUCUACGUCUACAUUUUUAC
rnacentral:lncRNA from 1 species